GCCAAUGGUGUUUAAAGUACCGUAUUGACCCGAAUAUAAGACGACCCUGAUUAUAAGACAACCCCCCUUUUUCCAGAUGUACCUUUUGGAAAAAGGCUUUUUGAAAACCAAAUCUUGUUUUUUCUUAAAUUAUUUUCAUAUUGCAUAUUUUUCCUAUUUAGAGUUUUUGUUUUGAAAGUAUGGUAAAUACUGGUAAAAUGUACCAACAAUGACAUUGAAAAAUAUACACUUUUUGAUAUACCAUAAAAAUAACAGGUAGCCCAUCUGAAUUAUAUAACAUUUAGGCUAUCCAUCUCAUAGUAGCCUACCAACAUUUUAUUAGCAGUAGAAGUGAAAUCCUAUUGCAGUCUUCAAAUCUGGGUACUGUCUUAUGUUUUAAAAUCACUUACAGAGGAAGUUUGGUCCCAUCAGGCUAACAUGACAGUCACGACUCGUGCCACUGUAAGCUUUUCUUUUUCUUUUGUUUUCACUCACGAUCUUUACAACACACAUUACAUUACAUAUUUCAUGGCACACUCGUUUUAUGCAUUUUUGGCGCCACCUAUUGUUGUGGUUGUAUUAUUGACAUGUCAAAGUCUAGACCCUGAAUAUAAGACGACCACGUUUUUUCAGAUGUAUUUCCAAGAAAAAAAACAUUGUCUUAUAUUCGGGUCAAUACAGUAAUUGAUGUCAAACCAGUGUUAUCUAGUUUUAGUUUAGCAUUAUUUAUAUUGGGGCUGCCCAAUAUAUCGUUUCAGCAUCGAUAGCGUGAUGUGCGCAUCUGCGAUAGUCACGUCGCAGGAUGUGCGAUGUUUAGUAUACUGACCGUUAUAUUUACACUGAUCGUUGUCUCUGCUCACACACAGACACCGUGUCCACACGGACGCGACAUCUUCGACCUUUGCAAAUCAUUUGAACUUUGUGUCAGUAUGUCAUAAAUAGAACGAGGCAUCAGUUUACUGUCGGUGAUUUUUCGUGUCGCACCGCGCUGCAUCCAGUGUAAACAGCAUCACUAAUUAUAAUGGAUUCAUAAUAUUUUGUCAGAUCGCUCGUCUGGUGUAGACACAGUGAGAGCCACGCAGAUGCACGUGAACUCUGAAUUUCAUUCACUUCUGUGUCUAUUAAUGACACAUACACGCAAAAUUAUGUGAAAAUACAUGUCUCUGUAAGUAUCCUUGUAAACUGUUGCUUAUGGCUUAGGUGAAGGUAAACAAUUGAGAAAGAAAAUGGAUGUGUGAGAAUUUUCUAGCUUUAACACAGAUUUAUUAGAUUUAAUUUAUACAGUGAAGACUUUGCGGUGUUAUUUUACAUUUGAUUAUUCAAUUUCUGUGCCUGAAUACUGUUAGACUUACUGUAACUGAAAAUUGUAAAAAGCACUGUUCAUUUCAUUUGUAUCUUUGUUCUAUUAUUGUUACAGAAUGAGACUCGCACAGAAGAUUAGAAUAAGGUAGAUGGCAUUUAUUAACAGCAACAGAGGUAACAGAGUCAAUGGCAGGUAAAUGGGAUGUUCAAUGCAGAGGUUUCACAGUACUGGUGAGGAAAUUAAUCAGUCUUUUCCUUACAGGAGAUUGUGGCAACAACGGAGGAGGAAUGGAUGACAGCACACACCUCAAUGGAGCAAUCCAGGAAGACACAACAGAGACUUGGGGGUAGACACCCGCUGGAGAGGAGCACAGGAGGCAAGUACACGAAGGAGGUAAGUACAUCAAAGUACAGCUGGAGUAGCAUAGAGAAUCCACUUCGCAUGAACAAGACCAGACACUGGAGUGGAGUGAAGCAUGUGCAUAUAAAGCCAUCUUGAUGGCCACAUACACACUGUAAGUUUCAGGAGUGACAACAGCAUUUAAAUGCAGGAGUGAGUCCUGUAAAUUAUCAUUCCAUGUGUGUACGGAACAACAGUCACUGCGGCAUUUGUAGCCAUAGCAACAAUUUGUCUCCUUAAAUAAAAUUUUGUUAUGUGCCAUUUUUUGGCUAAAGAUUCUUUUUGUCCAUCGAUUUUAUCUAAACUACCGCUGAUAGACGUGCGGCGCUUUGUUUAUGCUCGGGAGGCUGCUUUAGAGAGCGCUGGCUUGUAGUGUUGCCAUGUCCUCAUAUUUACAAGUGCUUUUAGGCAUGUUAUUUGGUCUUAGGCUAUCUCAUAAAGAGUGAAUAAAGUGGUCUGUCACAGAUAUGAGAUAUAUGAUUUUUUUUUUUUUGGUGUUAUAAAACAUAACGCAUUUGGGUGCUUUAGUGUUUUUUUGUGCUUGUCCGUGUUUGUUUGUUUUUUGAUAUGAAGAUUUGGCAACACUGACACUUUAGCCCCGUGUCAAAAUGUGCUAAGUUAAGACUUCUUUCACUGUUAUUUUCUUGCAUCUCACAUAGAGACGAAGUCACAUUUCUGAUGCACGUUCAAAUACGUCAUUAACAACUAGUUGUUCAGUUCGGUUCUGUACACACUGCAUAGAAUUUCUGCAAAUGCGGUUGUCACUACCUGUAUUUUUCGGGAGUUAAUGCACUUGUAACUCCCGUAUUUUAGUGAAUUGUGUGUGUACAGAAUGCGAUUAAGAAGUAAAAUGUGAACUGACAACCGAAUUUAGCUGCAGUGUGUACGUGGCCUAUGAGAGUGCAGAUGCAGUGCAGGUGUGUGCAAUCAGUAAUCAGGUGAGGGUGUGCGUUGUGAUUGGGUGGUGAUCUGUAACAAUUAUAUUUAUGCUUGUAAUUUGUUAAUUUUCUAUGCUAAUUUACUCACAUUUUUCAAAUCAUUGAUCAGUGAUUUUUUUCUUUUCUGUUUUUUCCUUCCAAAUAGAGCUCUUCAAGUCAUCUGGUGAUUAAUUUUUUUUUUUUCAUAGCACAAUAUAUAUUGCAGAAAAACAAAAUACCGCAAUGUUGGUUUUUGUAAUUUUGUAAUUUUAUUAAUUUAAAUGUAUAAAUACUUAUUUUAAACUUUAAUGUGAAAGUUUUCAAGUGAAAGUCAGUUGUAAUAAAAAAUAAAACACAGAUCAUACAGGUUUGGAACAACAUACUGUAAAAGUGAAUAAAUAAUGACGGAUUUUUCAUUUUGGGUGAGCUACCCCUUUAAAUUGCAGUCUGUUUCUCACAAAAAUGUGUGUAUUGCUCUGUGUACUGCACAAAUUUACACAAAUUUCCAGAGGAGGACAGUAGUGAAGUAUUUUUACUUUACUUAAGUAAAUUUUACUAAAAUCAAGUAAAUCACUACUGUCCGCCUCUGAUGGUUUCAGAGGACAUUUAAAAUGCACAAUUUGUAUGAACUAACAGCAUAAUCUUACACUUUUUUGCAGCUCAACUUUUGGAGUAUGGAAAACUAUGACUAACAUCUCCUUUUGUCUUCUGUGGGAGAAAAAAAAAGCAUACAAGUUUGGAAAAACACGGUAAAUAAAUGAUGACAGAAUUUCCAUUUUGAAUUCCUAACUACUCCUUUAAACUAAUAAAAAUGACAAGCAUUGUCAAAUUCAUCAUUAAGCACAUGUUCAAAGUUCUCCACUUGCCACCUUGUUUGGUCUGAAGAUAUGAGGGUUCCUGUGAUCUUUGAGACCACAGACGGAUGAUAUCACCCAUCUGAAAUAUCAGGGUUCUCUGAGUACAGCGGAGAAGGCUGUAGGGGAAAUCCCAUCGCAGAACAAGCCCAUCUGUCCUAACACUGGCCUUCCGAGCUGUCUGUCCAACUGUCUCCUCUGAGGCAAUCCUCCAGAGUUGAGUAGAGAGAUCCCAAGCAGGAUUUGCUUUGAUUUACUGUCUGCUGUGUUGUAGUGCUGUAUUCAGUCACUUUGUGUAAUGUCUGUGCUCAGCUGAAGCCCUGCUGGAGUUUACCACGAGGAUAGGGUUAAGGUCAGGUCAGGUCAGGUAACUCGGGAGAAGAAAGUGGUGGAGCCAGUGAGAAGAUGUAAGCAUAGAAGAAUUGACUUUAAGGUGGAGUAGUUUCUAAAUUACUCAAAACACAAAGAUGAUGACUUAACAGAAAUACUAGGAAGUUAGAUAAAUGAAACUUAUGAUGAUGCAUCCUUGAUAACGCCUUAAUGGUUGACAAUGAAAAACUGCAGUGGUGGACAUCAGAUUAAAUAUUUCUUUAAUAAUUUUAGAACUUUUAGCCUGACAUUGUUUAGAUUGCUUCACUCAAUAAAACUAUAAAGGGCCUUCACUGACAGUGAUGUGAAAAGAAAACUCCCAGAAGUUAUUCAUUUGUGAUGAGAGUUGACAACUUGAGGCAAUAUGAGUGUCAGACUAUUAGCAAUGUAAUAAAGUUGAGAAGUGUUUAAUUUUAUGCAAAUACGCAAUGACUAGAUGCUGACAUUAUGAGUACAGACAGUAGACCUCACAUGAUCUGCCGCUUGACACAGCUGGAUACAUUUUAAAGUCUAAUGUUUAAAAAUAUUAUAACGCAGAGUUCCUCAAAUCCAGCCCUGGAGGGCCACUGCCCUUCAGCUCAAACCCUUAUCAAGCUCUCCUACCUGUGAUUUCCUAGUGAACCUGAUUAGCUUGCUCAGGUGUGUUUGAUCAGGGUUAGAGCUAAACUCUGCAGGGCAUUGGCCUUCCAGGACAAGAACUGAGGAACACCUGGUUUAGAAUGUCCAAAAUCUGCAUCAUACAUGAGCUAUCAAACAAGCAAAAUACACUGAAACUGUAAGUUCAGGGGUGAACAAUCCUGCUCCUGGAGGGCCACUAUCCUGCAGAGUUUAGCUCCAACCCUGAUAAAACACACCUGAACCAGCUAAUCAAGGUCUGCAGGAUCGCUAGAAAAUUCCAGACACGUGUGUUGGGGCUGAACUCCAGAAGGUCUCCAGGAGCUGGACUGGACAUUUCAGUCCGAGUUCUUGGUAAAACCCACCACUGUGACUUCAUUGUGUUAAUGACCGAAAGGGGAAUACCAAGGAACAAGGAAUCUGGAUAAACAUAGUUUUAGCUUUUCCAUUUCUCAUGUCAAUAUGGUUUCACAGUCCUCAAAAAUGUCUGCAGAUGCUUAUAGCAUUUAUCAAAACACGGGGUCUCUCUGUGGUGCUGUUCCUGAUUUGUUUUUAAGUCCUGCUUAUGCAAUCAGGACCAAAGCCAGAUGAAGGUUGGAACAGACCAUUAAACCCUCCACACCUCCAUCCCAGCAGCCCUCCAGCUGCAGAAAAUACUUCACCAUUCCCAUGUUUGAGGCAGAUCUCUUGCAGAGCGACUGUCCACUCCAUGAUGUUGCAAUGAUGAGGUUAAGACCUUGCGCUCAGGCCUGGUCUCAGCGGAGGGUGAAGUCAUAUGGAGAAGAGGGCCGGGCCUAGAGAAAUAUGUUCACUAUUAGAGUUUAGGGUCUCCCCCUCCCUCCACUGUCCCACCCAAACCUAAAGCAGCUGGGCCGCCUCGUGACCCACAUGAUUAAAAGCAGUUGGGGCCCUUAGUGAGAUAUGCCGAGUGGAAUGUAGCGACUGGAUAUGUGUGUGUGUGUACUGUAAGCUUAAAGUGAUCCGUCAGGAAAAGUUCGCUACACAAGAGGACGUACAUUCCCACACCUGCGUCACACCUGAUGCAUGCCAUUACUUCAGUUUCUGUAAUUCCCCUUAUAAACAGACCAGGAUGAAAAGCUAAACAUAACAGCACAGGUGGAUGAACAAUAGCUAAGCAAAUCUUUUAAGGGAGCUCAAAAGUCAUGAGACCACCAGAAUGAUUUUAGGAAACACUCUUCACACAGUUCCGACCACAUUAGAGGAACAGGAAAUGAAGGACAAAAAAGCUGUGUGAAUGAGAGAGAAUACAAGUGGUUCCUGUACACACACACACACACACACAUGCAGACCAAACCACACAACAUUUACUCACUCCCCGAUGACCCAAUACAUCCAAUAACCGCUUUUAAACCACUAAUUCAGGAAAGAAUUCAGGGAGGAAUGUACAGUCAUAUACCUAUGAGGGGAAGCAAUCCAUCUGUUAUAUGGGAGUCACCAAGAUACACCGCAUAUUAAUUAGUAACGUUUGCCGAAGGAAGCAUCACUAUUACUAUUACUUCAAUAAACACUCUAAUUCUAAAGCCCAAAAUAUACGUCUGUCUUUAUACAUACACUGGCGUAUGUAUACAGUGAGCAUUAAGUAAAUGUAAUUAUCCGCAUAGUAUGUGCGUAUAGAUUUUUCUAACAGUGUGUUCUCUGUACAUCACACAUGCACCUUGAAUCUUUUUUUUGCACUAAUUAGUUUGUCUAUGAGGUGGCAACACUGACCCCACUCAUUGUUUCACAGUCGAAAAAAAGAAACAGAUGAGGUGGAACAACAACAAACUCUUCAUGAUGGAAACAACAAUAGAUGGCUGCAUUGACAAGUGCUCAUGUGGAGGGUUAAAAGAUACCCACAACUCUAGUAUAAAUGAGUAUGCUGACUUUUUAAAAAUAUUUUGAUCGUAACUUCUGAAGAGAAAUAGUGCGGACACCGGACAGGGAUUAAACUUUCUAGAGGACGUAUGUCAAGUUCCUGUGUUUAUGUACACUAUCAAAUGACAUACAUUUUUAAAGGCUAUACAUUCGACUGUAAGCAUAUGCUAGUGCUCAUGUUAAAACUGAAGUAGGCUAUACUUUGGGCUUAAAGGGAUAGUUCACACAAAAUGACGUGAAUGGCGGCGGACUGACCCGAAAAAGGAGAAAUCAUUGAAUAAAGUUAUUUUUGUUUUCUUCGCUCACAAAAAGUAUUCUCAUUGCUUCAUAACAUUACGGUUGAACCACUGAUGUCACAUGGACCAUUUUAAUGAUGUGCUUACUCCAUUUCUGUGCCCUGACCCUGGUAGUUCCCUUGCUGUCUAUGCAGGGUCAGACAGCUCUCAGAUUUCAUCAAAAAUAUCUUAGUUUGUGUUCCAAAGAUGAACGAAUGUCUUACAAGUUUGGAACGACAUGAGUAAUUAAUGACAGAAUUUUCAUUUUUGGGUGAACUAUCCCUUUUUAAGUGUUCAUCGAGUGAUGAUUUUAACCUAAUGAAAAGCUGAUACAAAUUUGGUUGGUAGGAAAUAAAAUCCCCCAUAGGCAACUAUGGGUUUCAUAACAUUAAAAUAUUCUAACAUAAACCACUAAGCUUAACUUUUGGGAAUGAUGUGGUUAUGUCUGUGAUGUAUAAUUCAAUCUUAAAGCCUGUGACGUAGUGGUUCACAGAUGUGCAACAGAAACUGAAACACUGUGCUAAUGUGGGCGAUAAAGGCUCAAUCCUGAAUUCCCCUCUCCUGACAAAUCAUUUCCUGAUGCUCUCUACUAAGUUUGUCAAAUAAAAAGUAGCAAAAGGCAAAACUCCAAGAAUAAAACAUAAUAAACCAAAAACAGCUACAUGUAAGUUGUAAAAUACAGAAUGUAAAGGGAUAUUACACAUAAACAUUUUAAUUACCUCUUCAUGCCAUCCCAUAUGAGCAUAACUAUCUUUGUUCAGAUGAACACAGACAAAAUAUUUCAGAAAAAUAAUGAAUCCCUGUGAGUCCAUAUAAAUUGAAUAGGUGACAAGCAAAAGUUAUGAAAAGCACAUACACCCAUCAUGAUGGUAAUUCAUACUAUCUC